AUAGCAAUCGCAAUAAAUAAAAGACUAAAAAUAUACUAACCGAUAUGGUUUUUAUUUCUGUACUAAAUAUUCUUUGUCCUACAAUUUUACAAGAAUAGUUAUACUCCUUAUUAAAAUAUAGACAAUUGAAAUUUACUCUUACGCUUUUUGAAAUAAGCGCCAAACAAUGUUCAUUCGUGUCAUCUUUGAUACAAUUUAUUUUAAAAAAAAAGUUGAUUAAAAUAAUGUAUUGAAAGUCAAUCAAGUGAUGUUUUACAAAAAAUAAUUUAUACGUUAAGGACUUAAAUUUUAGACCAAAAAUUAAUUUUAACAUUUUAUGUUUCUUAAGAUUAAGAAAAACUAUUAUUAUGCUGUUACUAUAAAACGAUUUAUAACUUUAUUUACUCGAAUAUUAAAACGCAAUCGUUCGUAAUUUUAAUAUUUCAGCCUUUUUCAUUUUAAUUUCAAAAAACACUUUAAAAAAAUAAAAUUCGAACUAAAAAUGUAUUCACACACAACGGUGCACUUUAUUUCUAAUAAUCGUCCACAAAGUCCUUAUAGCUAAACAAUUGGGAAAUACUUGUUCUAACAUUUCAAUGUUCAGUGAUCGUGGUCUAGACUAAAUCUAAAAUAAUAUUUAAUUUACACAGGUAAUCAAUUUUAAUAUUAAUUCAUUUCGUAAUCUUAGGUCGCAAAUACAACAAUAAAACUUAACGUUUUAAUUUUAUAUUAUUUUUAGUCGUUUAGCUGUGCAAUACUUGAGUUGAAACACGGGGAAUAAAUAUCAAAAAACAGUUGUUCCCAGUUUUAUUUAAAUCAUAUAAUAUUUAAUAAAUUUUUAUCUUGUUAUAUCUUAACAUAAAUCAACGAAAAGUAAUGGGAUUUUUUACAAGAUAUAUAUUAUGUUUUAUCGGAAUACAUUAUGUAAUAUUCUCUGUAUGACAGAAUGAGUCCAAUAAUUCUAUUUUAGUACUAGUAUAAUAACUAAAAUAAAACAAUUCAAAUGUACGUAAAAUUGAUUUUAUUAUCAUUACAUUAAGAUAGCUUAAACUAUAAAUGAAGUAAUUCUUUUAAUAUCGUCGACAACUCCUAAAAUGUACCGUUAACUUUGAUCAAACAAUUUAUUUUAGUACACAAGGUAUUACAAUAAUAUAAACUAAAACAUAAUGAGAUGUUUACAUUUAACGACAACGGUGACAAAACAAUAAAAUUAUUUACCGUUCGAUCCACACACGAAACUACUGAUAUAGCUUUUAAUUAUUAUCUUUAACAUUCAUAAUUCUGUCAACAAUUACUUAUGAGACGAUGAAGUAUACGCGGUACACUCGUGUCAUUAAGGGCGAAAAAAAAAAACUAAGUUUUUCUUUUCAUUACAUUUCAUUUUGUGAAAAAUACACGAAUAGAAUUCAUAGGCACACAGUCGCAAGACUCUUUGAUCAGUAAAGCGAGCAUAAAGGCGAGUUCACAUUAUGUCGGUCCGGUUGUGUACGGUUUCUUUUUUUUAACUAGGUCGGCAAACAAAUGUACCAGGUCAUUAAUCCAAAAUGACGGCAUUGUAGACCCCACUCACUCACUCACUUCAGCCUAUCGCAGUCCACUGUUGGACAUAGGUCUCCACAAGUUGGCGUCAAAAAUGGCGUGAACUCAUGUGUUUUUCCCAUAGUCACCACGCUAUGGGAGACGUAUUGGUGGCCGCAGGAAUGGUUUUGUCGCACUAAAUGCGGGAUUACCAUCCGACUUGGAACCUGACUUUGAAAUACACAGGUCAAAGACGGGCAGCAGCUAUGGUCUACACCGUGAGGUGAAAAAUAGAAUAAAUGCGGGACGGAAGAAAUGGCGACAGGUCUCUGGAACAGCUUGUGAUCCACGAAUGGCCCUUACACUUAAGGGGAAAAUCUACAAAAUGAUCAUAAGACCUGUCGUAAUGUAUGGAACAGAAUGUUGAGAAAGUGACGGAUGAAAGAAUAGUGCACGCAGCCGAGAUGAGAAUGCUGAGAUGGAUGUAAAAAAAGCGAUGGAUGGAUUGUGUGAGUGAGGACAUGGGAAAGAAAGGAGUAAGCACUGAAUUGACGAAUAAUUGAUGGAAGAGGAAAACAGCUGAUGGUGAGCGAUAACCGUAGCUUAUAGACGUCUACAAUACCAGCAUUAAUCAAAUGCGUUGCCGACCCGAGGUCCCCCCUCCCUAUCUCUGGUCACCAUACUUACCACAGGAACAUAAUACUGCUUAAAAGCAAAUUUAUUUAUCUGUUGUAGCUGUUCUUUGUAAAGUGAAGGAACUUUCCCAGUCGGGCUGCUCCUAAUUUUGAGAAUAGCUUUUGUAGUACUCCGUUGCAACCGAUUUAUCGCCGACAUAACGUAAGUGAGCUUGAAUCAUCGUCUAUUGAUCAGAACCUAGCGCGUAUAUAGACCGCGGCCACGUCAUGGUUGGCGUACCCGAGCCGCUUGGCGUGCUUGAAGAUCUCGUUAGUGGUGGCCGUGAGAGGCAGCGACUGUUCCAGCGCGUCACCCAGCCCCAGCGCCAGCUUCAGGUCCUUCUGCAUGUGAGUCAGCGGCUGGUGCGUGGAGUACGACGACUCGAUCAUUGCUGGAAUCAGAGCGAUAUAUUUAAUUACAUCGUUCCAGAAAACCAAUGAAACCUACUGGGUCCUAAAAUGUAAACUGCUGGAUCCAAUUGGGUCAAAUUCUUAUAGAACCAAAUGGCAAGUAGGUAUCUCCCAUCCAACAACAAGGAAUCAAAUCGGAUCAGAAGUCUCGGCGUAAUCGGAAUACAGGAGUCCUUAUUGUAAAAAUUGCAUUUCUUUAUUAAAUUAGACCAUUCAAUAUUUUUAAAGUACAAAAAUGUCAAAUAUGUAAUAUCUAUAAUCUAUAAAUAUAAAUAUCUACAGAAUACAAACACGGUCGUCUGUUCCUAAAGUAAGCAACUUACGGCCGAACCCAAUAUUCAAUCUAAAGAUAGAGAUAGGUAGUUAUCAUCAACUGCUAAUAACUAACUAUCUAUCCUUUGUACUUGUCCCAAUAAUUCGGAUAUGGGACUACUAUCUCCAGUUAGCUGUAGAUAGACCGGCUACCUGAGCUCUCCCUUACAUUCCAGUAUACGCAGCGUCACAGACGGCCUCAGUUGUGUUACAUAGAUGUUUUGUAGUAUUUAAAUUUGUCAUACAAAUUUUAUUCAUAAAUAUUAAAGUAAUCUUGUUUUAUAAAAAUAUGGACAAAUUAAUUUUUAC
rnacentral:misc_RNA from 1 species